rnacentral:rRNA from 2 species
CAACUUUCAGCAAUGGAUCUCUUGGCUCUCGCAUCGAUGAAGAACGCAGCGAAUUGCGAUAUGUAAUGUGAAUUGCAGAUUUUCCGUGAAUCAUCGAAUUUUUGAACGCACCUUGCACUCCUUGGUAUUCCGAGGAGUAUGCCUGUUUGAGUGUCAUUA